rnacentral:rRNA from 1 species
GACGUAGGGCGCGAGCGUUGUCCGGAUUUAUUGGGCGUAAAGAGCUCGUAGGCGGCUUGUCGCGUCGAAUGUGAAAUCUCGGGGCUCAACUCCGAGCUUGCAUUCGAUACGGGCAGGCUAGAGUUCGGUAGGGGAGACUGGAAUUCCUGGUGUAGCGGUGAAAUGCGCAGAUAUCAGGAAGAACACCCGUGGCGAAGGCGGCUCUCUGGUACGUGACUGACGCUGAGACGCGAAAGCGUGGGGAGCGAACAGG